rnacentral:rRNA from 1 species
CCUACGGGUGGCAGCAGUGAGGAAUAUUGGUCAAUGGGCGGAAGCCUGAACCAGCCAAGUCGCGUGAGGGAUGAAGGCCCUGUGGGUCGUAAACCUCUUUUGCCGGGGAGUAGAGUGCCGGACGUGUCCGGUCUUGUAUGUACCCUGUGAAAAAGGCUCGGCUAACGCCGUGCCCGCCGCCGCGGUAAUAAGGAGGAUGCGAGCGUUAUCCGGAUUUAUUGGGGUUUAAGGGUGCGUAGGCGGACGAUUAAGUCAGCGGUCAAAUUGCGGGGCUCAACCCCGUACUGCCGUUGAAACUGGGUGCCUUGAGUGCGCGAGAAGUAUGCGGAAUGCGUGGUGUAGCGGUGAAAUGCAUAGAUAUCACGCAGAACUCCGAUUGCGAAGGCAGCAUACCGGCGCCCAACUGACGCUGAGGCACGAAAGCGUGGGUAUCGAACAGGAUUAGAUACCCUAGUAGUC